CUGUAUGAGGGGCGGCGUGUGUGUGAACAGACAGCCUAGCGGUAUUUUGUUGUGCUUGACGGUACAAAGGUUGUGAGAAGCACCGCCUGCUGCCCCUGAUGCUGUGGUCUUGGUCUGUGCUACAUAAGACUGUGUGUGUGUGUGUGUGUGUGUGUGUGUGUGUGUGUGUGUGUGUGUGUGUGUGUGUGUGAGUGUGUGUCCUCACUUGUAUAGUACACAUUGUUUGUCUGUCUGCAGUGCACAGCGCAUGGCUGCACGCGCCGACUGUACCCUUCUGCCCCUCUUCUUCAUUGCAUCGACAACAGUCAUCUUGGUAGUUGCUGUAUGCGGCGAUCCCCCAACACCCGAUCCUUGUGCGGUUGAUGGGACCAAUUGUGCUGAGUGUGCCCCAGGCGAAAGAAUGCUGAGUCCUUCUGACUGCAGCAGUUA
rnacentral:misc_RNA from 1 species